rnacentral:rRNA from 1 species
AGAGUUUGAUCCUGGCUCAGAACGAACGCUGGCGGCAGGCCUAACACAUGCAAGUCGAACGAUGCCUUCGGGCAUAGUGGCGCACGGGUGAGUAACACGUGGGAACAUACCUUUUGGUGGGGGAUAACUUCGGGAAACUGUAGCUAAUACCGCAUACGCCCCUUGGGGGAAAGAUUUAUCGCCGAAAGAUUGGCCCGCGUCCGAUUAGCUAGUUGGUGAGGUAAUGGCUCACCAAGGCUCCGAUCGGUAGCUGGUCUGAGAGGAUGACCAGCCACACUGGGACUGAGACACGGCCCAGACUCCUACGGGAGGCAGCAGUGGGGAAUAUUGGACAAUGGGCGCAAGCCUGAUCCAGCCAUGCCGCGUGAGUGAUGAAGGCCUUAGGGUUGUAAAGCUCUUCACCCACGACGAUGAUGACGGUA